rnacentral:rRNA from 1 species
AUUUUGAAAGAUUUAUCGCAAUAGGAUAGGCAUUCGUAAGAUUAGUUAGCUGGUGAGGUAACGGCUCACCAAGACGAUGAUCUUUAGGGGGCCUGAGAGGGUGAACCCCCACACUGGUACUGAGACACGGACCAGACUCCUACGGGAGGCAGCAGUGAGGAAUAUUGGACAAUGGGUGGAAGCCUGAUCCAGCCAUCCCGCGUGUAGGAUGACGGCCUUAUGGGUUGUAAACUACUUUUAUCUGGGGAUAAACCUACUUACGUGUAAGUAGCUGAAGGUACCAGAAGAAUAAGCACCGGCUACUCCGUGCCAGCAGCCGCGGUAAUACGGAGGGCGCAAGCGUUAUCCGGAUUUAUUGGGUUUAAAGGGUCCGUAGGCGGAUUAAUCAGUCAGUGGGUGAAUCUCAUAGCUUAACUAUGAAACUGCCAUUGAUACUGUUAGUCUUGAGUGAUGUUGAAGUUGCUGGAAUGUGUAGUGUAGCGGUGAAAUGCUUAGAUAUUACGCAGAACACCAAUUGCGAAGGCAGGUGACUAAACAUUAACUGACGCUGAUGGACGAAAGCGUGGGGAGCGAACGGGAUUAGAUACCCUGGUAGUCCAUGCCGUAAACGAUGGAUACUUGCUGUUGGGCUUUCGGGUCCAGUGGCUAAGCGAAAGUUAUAAGUAUCCCACCUGGGGAGUACGUUCGCAAGAAUGAAACUCAAAGGAAUUGACGGGGGCCCGCACAAGCGGUGGAGCAUGUGGUUUAAUUCGAUGAUACGCGAGGAACCUUACCAAGGCUUAAAUGCAAUUUGACAGAACUAGAAAAAGUUUUUUCUUCGGACAGACUGCAAGGUGCUGCAUGGCUGUCGUCAGCUCGUGCCGUGAGGUGUUAGGUUAAGUCCUGCAACGAGCGCAACCCCUAUCAUUAGUUGCCAGCGUUUAAAGACGGGGACUCUAAUGAGACUGCCGGUGCAACCGCGAGGAAGGUGGGGACGACGUCAAGUCAUCACGGCCUUACGUCUUGGCUACACCGUGCUACAUGGUAAGUACAGAGGGCAGCUACUGGCACAAAUGCGAUCUCGAAACUUAUCUCAUUCGGAUGGAUCUGCACUCACUCUUGAACUGGAUCCCUAUAUCCAAUCACCCUGAGCG